CACACCCGUGAUGUGUCCGCCACUGGACUGCACCUCGACCUGAUGACCCUGAGGUACAACAACAAACAGACAGAGAGAGGAGUAGGAUGACGAGUCAGAGGGUGUUUAGGAUCCUAACACCUGCUCCUGUGGGUGAAAUUGUCAUUGCAGCUGGGAUGAAGCCGUGAAAUGUGUUAGAUGAGGUCAACAGACUAGAACAAACAUCUGACCAUCAGUCCAGCUUUGCUGCCUGGGCUUCCUGGCAGACCACUUCAUCUCCAUCCACUUUGGGCAGGGGAGCCAGUGUCGUCGGUCAUGUCUGUUAUGUGCAUAAGUGUCCCAUUUCCAACUGAACUGGAGCGAACCCAACGACUGUUGUGGUGCAGCGCCAGCCUCUUGUAAUACCACACUCAGUCUGCCUGCCUGGAGGUAUAAACCUACCUGGAAAAUAUUAUUCUACUGACUCACUGUUUGCAUGCUGAGAACAAAUAAACAUAUUAAUUUAGCAAAGUGGUUACAUGAUACAACACCUGCCUUAAUCCUGUGGAUCAGUUUAAAGUUAAAGCGUCACUCCUCGUCUCCCUCAUAGACACACACACUCAUAUUCACAUGAAGUGUCUGUUGCCAAUUCCUUAAUUCUUUAGUAACUGAGACAUUCCUUUGCCAUGUGUGAGAAUGUUUUUCAUCGGUCAAUUGACUGAUAGUGAUUCUUAAAAAAUGAAACAACCAAGUGUCCCUCACAUCUGGGCUGGAUUUCCUACAGCUAGCCAACACCAGAUAACGUCAGGUCAAUUUAUUUCUAUUCCAAAAGCCUGGACUUCAUUAAGACAUUGUUUGAAAUUUAUAUUUAAGAAUCCUUGUCCUGAUGAAGGAUAUGGAAAGCAGGCGUAACAUGGGAACGGGUUAUCGGCUGCUGUCACCUCCUGCCCAAAGGGACUGAGGGGAGGUGGGGACAUUUUUGAGAUGCUGGGCAUGCACAAGAAAUAAACGUGUGUUUUUCCAUCACAGAGGAGAUUAUUUUACAUCUUUAGUGUAUCUUUUGUAGUAAACUUUCUAUAAAGCUAUCUAUUAACAUUAAAUUGAAGCUAUUUUGUUUUCCAUCAGAUCAUGUCCUGAUGUUCAUACUGAAUGGAUUUGUGCUGCAUUCUGUAUAUUUCCCAGCUGUGGUUAAUAGAAACCAUACAGAGUACACAGUGGAGAGUAGAUGUAGAUGCACAGAAAGGUGUGACUGAGUGUAUCACAAAAACCCCAGUUUAGUGACCCUGUACCAAUUCUACAAUAAUAUUUAAUGGAGACUUCGGGCUGAUACAAGUGAUUCAGUAGAAUAACGUGCUUUAUUAUUCAGAAUAAUAAAGAAUAAUAAAGGUCAGUGGUAGAGGAAGAGAUUCAGAUCCUUUACUUGAGAAAAAGUAACAAUACCACACUGAGGACAUAUUCUAUAACAAGUAAAACAUAAAAGUACAAUUGUUAUUUGUAAAAUGUGUCUCACAAGUACAAGUAGAAAAAUUCUUGUGUUAUAUUCUUAAAUAUCGCAUUGUUAGCUUAUUAUCACUGAUGCAAUAAUGUGAAAGUAGUGUUUUACUGUAGUAGCUGGUUGAGGUGGAACCAGUUAUAUAUAUUUAUAUACUGUCAGUUUAAUUGUGAACAAUGUGUCAUCUGUUAUAAGAUCACCAUAUGUUGAGGAGGUAAAAUCUUAACCUGCAAACUAGCUAAAGCUGUCCAAUGUAAUACAGUAAAAACUACAAUACCCCCCUCUGAACUGUGGUGGAGCAGAAGUAUUUAAGUGGUAUAAAAUGGAAAAAAUGUACAAGUACCUGAAAUUUGUAUUUGAGUAUAGUACUUGAGUAAAGGUACUUUCCACUGAUGCUUAAAGUGCAAUAAAGGAUUAUUCUCUUUGCACGGCCUCUUGUUACAGGAACAUAAAAUAACCUUUACUUUAUUAUCCUGCAAACUGUGUCCUCUUCUCUAUAGCAACUGUUAAAGUGUCAUUGCUCAGUGUAGCAUUCACCCGAUGAACAAUUUGGGUCAAAAGAAAUAAACAAAUCUCAUUUUAGAGUAAGCCAAUGUCAGCACUGAUGAACACUGUGUACACUACCUUUCCAAUCUCCCUGGCAGAUUAAGACUCCUACUUUAGAGGCUGCAGAUACGGUCGAGAGGAGUGUAUAAAUGGAUGUGGACUGAGAGAGAGAGAAAUGACCAUUUGACAGGGUAGCUGGGAGAAAUGUAAUUUUCCACAUUGUUGCAGGAUUUGUUUCUGUUUUCUGUCAUAACAAAAAGCUAGCUUUCAUCCAAUACUAGUAUGUUAUGAAAGUCAGCAUUUAGGCAUUGAAAUUUUAAUCACAUAAUGUUGACAUUAAAUGAAUAAUAGUGCGUAGGUCUUGGAUGUAAUAA